AGCAGCAGCCGCGGGAAUACAGAGGGUGCGAGCGUUAAUCGGAUUUACUGGGCGUAAAGCGUGCGUAGGCGGCUUCUUAAGUCGGAUGUGAAAUCCCUGAGCUUAACUUAGGAAUUGCAUUCGAUACUGGGAAGCUAGAGUAUGGGAGAGGAUGGUAGAAUUCCAGGUGUAGCGGUGAAAUGCGUAGAGAUCUGGAGGAAUACCGAUGGCGAAGGCAGCCAUCUGGCCUAAUACUGACGCUGAGGUACGAAAGCAUGGGGAGCAAACAGGAUUAGAGACCCGAGUAGUCCCUGUCUCUUAUAC
rnacentral:rRNA from 1 species